rnacentral:lncRNA from 10 species
CACAUAGGUAAAAGAAUUCUUCAAAGAGGACAGUUUAAAUUCCACUUCUUUAAAGAAAGCUUUUAAUAUUGUAGUCUGGAAUUUUCUCUCCUUAAUCAGAACCCACAAAUCACCUGCAUAGAGUUUUAAUCAACCAUUUGGACUUUAAAAAGUAAUUAUCUAUCGACCUACGACUUGUCUCCUCAAUAGCUAUUUCAGAUUGAAGUGAGGUGCCUUUACCUUCUUGGUAUCCAAAAUAUUUGUAUCAUGCCUUACACAUUGCACACACAUAAUAAACAGAGUUGGUCAAAGAGUCAUAAACAACAGUUUUGUUUCAGCAAACAAGCAUUCCUACAGACUUGCAUGGAUGUUGAAAUUUCUUUAAUUUAAUUAUAUUUUAAAUAUAUAGGGAUUUUUUUAUUUAAAGGAGUUGGAGAAAAAUUGGGUCUUAGAACAAGCGUUAAAAAAAGUCUAGUGUAGUUUCCAACUCACAUAAACAUAUAUCCUUCUAGAAUGUUCUUGAAAAUGGGAGUUGAGCCUCUGUUGAAAACUUCCAGCAGAGUAAACAUAGCGAUUACAUCAGAGUCUGAAAAAUUUCUGUCCUCUUUUUGUGACUCUUCUAUAGAGCAAGGCAUCAUUUUCAAUCUAUCUUUUAAAAAACAAUCUGGAUUUCCUACAUGUUUACUUAAAUAUAUGUUAUAUUUAAAUAUAAAUACAUAUUUGAAAACACAGACUACAUUGUAUCUGCUCGUGUACUUCUCACAGAGGUUUUCCUGAAACAUUGAGACAGUGCAAAAGUCUUUCGAGCAGCCAGAGAUUCAUAGUUACCGGUUAGUAGUGUGAGAAUGAGCCAGCUCUGAGACAAUAUCAAUAAUAAUCCGGUAAGUGCCUGCAGCCUCUAGAAAAUGAAGGAACAAUGUCCUCCCUUGGCAAGGAGUCUAGGUUAGCCCCUUGGAGCCACAGGUAGAAUGCAAAUUUGGAAAAUUAUGCCGCCAAUAUGCUUCAGCUGUAGAAAAAAUCUGUCGUAAGAUGCUUAUCAGACAUCCUUUUAUUGUCUCCCUAACAAUGGAGAGCAGCUCCACAAGCAGUCGUUUCGCAUGCUAUUCUGAGCAGAACAGAGAACGCCAAAUACUCCUAAGAAGAAUACGGGCAUGCACAAUGGGAGGGUACCCAGGAGGAAGGUGAUGCAGAGGUAUGGGCGUCAGGAUGAAACGCAGAGACAGUGAUAAAGAUGUUAUGCAACUUGUGCCCAUCUCAUUUCCUCUAUUCAUUUUAAACCAUUUCAAAUAAGAUCUACUUUAGAUAUGUAGUGCUAAAGACCAUGACCCACCCCGAGAGUUUCUAUUGUUGCUGUUAAUGUGACGGCCAACAAUUAGCUUCCAGGAACACUUGUAACAACCAUAACUGAUUUGUGACAACUUAUAGAAAGAUAUAAAAGGGGGGCCAGGUGCGGUGGCUCACAGCUGUAAUCCCAGCACUUUGGGAGGUCAAGGUGGGUGGAUCGCCUGAGCUCAGGAGUUCGAGAAUAGCCUGGGCAACAUGGUGAAACCCCAUCUCUACUAAAAUACAAAAAAUUAGCCGGGCGUGGUGGCUCGUGCCUGUAAUCCCAGCUACUCAGGAGGCUGAGGCAGGAGAGUCUCUUGAACCCAGGAGGCGGAGGUUGCAGUGAGCCAAGAUCGCACCACUGCACUCCCAGAAAGAAUAAAGAACUCUCAAAUCAGGAAUGAAUUUGGUUUUGAUAGCAAAGGACCCAUCUUCCCCGUUUGUUCUGAUGCUGAAGGAUUGGGUCCCUACCAGCUCCUUUGUAACAAGAAGCUCUUAAUGCUGGGUUUGGCCUUGCUGGGGGUUUUCAGGUAGUAUUGACCUGUCAGUCAACGCCAAACUUCAUCCUAGCAAGGGAGAAAUAUGCUAAGCCACAAUAAUAACGCACUUUGGUGUUGUACCUUAUUGCUACUACAGGUACUGGCGUGAACUUUAACUUUUCUUGCUGUAUCUGUAUUAAGAACUGUCACUCUCAGUGCUUACAGGAUUAGGAAGAAAGGAAGUUAUACAUGGCUUCCAAUUUAAAAAUUUUAAGCAAUUGGGCAAAUGGAAAAUAUCUUUUUACUGUGUUUUAUGGAGGAAAUUUUACAGCUCUUUUCAAACAAUAUUUCUUCAACAAGGGACUGGGCUCCGAAGGUAUAAAGAUGAAUAAGUUGGUAAUAUGCUUGAGAGGACUGAUGUGUUUCCAUGAGAAAGAGCCAACUUCAAUGUAGUGUGGCAAGUACUGUGAUAACAGAUUUCCACCGGGAGCUGGGGGCGAAGGGAAUGGCCAGGCUCAGGGAGGGAGAGCUGCACUGAGGGGUGACUUCCCAUGCUGAUGGCACCUCCCUUUCUCCAUCCCUAAGAGGCAGGGUUAAAGGCAAGGAGGACAAAGAUUCUAAUAGGAUAUGUGGCAAAUGUUUUACUUAUUAAAACAGCAUUUCUGCUCUUGGUCUUCACCAUCCUUAGAAUCAGUCUCUCACUGUCCUUUGCUCACAACUUAUCUCCUUCCUUUUAGAUUUCCCUCUUUGUGGAUUACUUGUUGCUUUCUUGUCUCCCCAUCUCGAGAUAACCCUGAAUUUAGAAGGUUGAGAAAAAAUAAAACCACAAAAAUACAGUGCUGUAUCCAGGUGACUCAAACCAGCUCUGGUUAGUGCCUUAAAGAUAUCCUUUCUCUUGGGGUGUACAUUUCUGUGCUUUUCUCACUAGUAAUAGUGUGUGGUUGCUUGGAGAUUUAUUAGGGAUGAGAAAGAUGAUUAUGGUUGUAGAUGGAGUGGGACAGGCCCUUAGAUUUUGAAAUAUUGGCUGGCUCCUCUGAGAUGUGACUUUCCAUGUCCCAGGCACUGUUUCCAGGCAUUGUUAUAUCUGUUGAAAUUUUGUCACUGGAGUGAACAUAAAAACAACCUUGUCUCAAAUUCUAACUCUGAUGAUGUUUAAUCCCAUGGCAUAGGCAUGUAGAAAAAAAGGUCCCAUUGGGACCCCAUCAAUAAAUGCUGUUGUUUGUUUGUUCCCAUCCACUUCAGGCACCAGAUGAACAGCAGAAAAAAUGCUGGGCUGCUGAUCCUGGGUGGAGCAGACACAUAGGUCCUUCCCCAUCCAUAUCAUGGCCCAGAAGCAGUCCAUGCACAUCCUACUUGGUCAAAGGAAGCAGAGGUAGAGGGUGCAGAAAGAUGUUGGCACCAUUCAAAGUUGACAUUUCAUAAAGAGAUGGAGGAUGUGAGGGUGAUCUGGCUGUGACACUUGUCAUCACAUUGAUCCCCAGGGUUGAUUUGGCUGAUCUGGCUGGCUAGGUGGGUGGCCCCUUCCUUCUACACAGCUCCAUGUGCUGUGUGCUUGGUUGAAGAAGACGAUCUUCCCCAAUAGAGGAGGACCUUUCCUUGUUCACAGGUGUACAAGUAGCUCCUGCUAGAACUUCCAAACAAGGUUCAUUUGUAGGAGAAUAUACAGCAGUCAAGACUCCCGGAUUCCACAUCCAGAAUGAGGUGUUGCAUUUGGCAGUUUCUGCUUUGAGAGAGAGACAGAGAGAGAAAGAGAGAGAGAGAUUAGAGAAAUGAGCUGCAUCAAGGACAUAUCAGAGUGGAGAUCCAUGCAAUCUGGUGUCAACACCAUCC